CCUACGGGAGGCUGCAGUGGGGAAUAUUGCACAAUGGGGGAAACCCUGAUGCAGCAACGCCGCGUGAGGGAAGAAGUUAUUCGUUAUGUAAAGCUCUGUUAGCAGGGAAGAAAAUGACGGUACCUGAGUGAGAAGCCCCGGCCAACUACGUGCCAGCAUCCGCGGUAAUACGGAGGGGGCCAGCGUUAUCCGGAUUUACUGGGUGGUAAGGGGGCGUAGACGGGGGGGCAAGUCUGGAGUGAAAUGUCCCGGCUUAACUGCGGAACUGCAGUUGAAACUGGCGUUCUUGAGUGCGGGAGGGGUAGGCGGAAUUCCGAGUGUAGCGGUGAAAUGCGUAGAUAUUAGGAGGAACACCGGUGGCGAAGGCGGCUUACUGGACUUUAACUGACGUUGAGGCUCGAAAGCGUGGGGAGCAAACAGGAUUAGAUACCCCAGUAGUC
rnacentral:rRNA from 1 species